rnacentral:misc_RNA from 1 species
GAUGAAGAACGUAGCGAAAUGCGAUAAGUAAUGUGAAUUGCAGAAUUCAGUGAAUCAUCGAAUCUUUGAACGCACAUUGCGCCCGCCAGUAUUCUGGCGGGCAUGCCUGUUCGAGCGUCAUUUCAACCCUCAGGACCCCUUCGGGGGACUUGGUGUUGGGGACCGGCACAGGGGCCUGCCUGCUUGUCUUGCAGCGCCCUCGCCGCCCCCGAAAUGAAUUGGCGGCCUCGUCGCGGCCUCCCCUGCGUAGUAGCACAAACCUCGCAACGGGAACGUGACGGCGGCCACUGCCGUAAAACAACCCAAUUUUAUUAGAGUUGACCUCGAAUCAGGUAGGAAUACCCGCUGAACUUAAGCAUAUCAAUAAGCGGAGGA